AGUGAACGCUGGCGAUAGGCCUAACACAUGCAAGUCGAACGGCAGCACAGUAAGAGCUUGCUCUUACGGGUGGCGAGUGGCGGACGGGUGAGGAAUACAUCGGAAUCUACUUUUUCGUGGGGGAUAACGUAGGGAAACUUACGCUAAUACCGCAUACGACCUACGGGUGAAAGCAGGGGAUCUUCGGACCUUGCGCGAUUGAAUGAGCCGAUGUCGGAUUAGCUAGUUGGCGGGGUAAAGGCCCACCAAGGCGACGAUCCGUAGCUGGUCUGAGAGGAUGAUCAGCCACACUGGAACUGAGACACGGUCCAGACUCCUACGGGAGGCAGCAGUGGGGAAUAUUGGACAAUGGGCGCAAGCCUGAUCCAGCCAUACCGCGUGGGUGAAGAAGGCCUUCGAGUUGUAAAGCCCUUUUGUUGGGAAAGAAAAGCAGCAGGUUAAUACCCCGCUGUUCUGACGGUACCCAAAGAAUAAGCACCGGCUAACUUCGUG
rnacentral:rRNA from 1 species